AGGAAUUGGCGGGGGAGCACAACAACGGGUGGAGCCUGCGGUUUAAUUGGACUCAACGCCGGACAACUCACCGGGGACGACAGCAAAAUGUAGGCCAGGCUGAAGACCUUGCCUGAAUCGCUGAGAGGAGGUGCAUGGCCGUCGCCAGUUCGUACUGUGAAGCAUCCUGUUAAGUCAGGCAACGAGCGAGACCCGUGCCCACUGUUACCAGCAUAUCCUCCGGGAUGUGGGUACUCUGUGGGGACCGCCGGUGUUAAAUCGGAGGAAGGUGCGGGCCACGGUAGGUCAGUAUGCCCCGAAUUUCCCGGGCUACACGCGGGCUACAAUGGAUGGGACAAUGGGUCCCUACCCCGAAAGGGGAUGGCAAUCUCACAAACCCAUCCGUAGUUCGGAUCGAGGGCUGUAACUCGCCCUCGUGAAGCUGGAAUCCGUAGUAAUCGCGUUUCAAUAUAGCGCGGUGAAUACGUCCCUGCUCCUUGCACACACCGCCCGUC
rnacentral:rRNA from 1 species